UAAUGUACACCUGAAAUUACAUGAUGUUAUAAACCAUUAUGACCUCAAUUUAAAAAAAAGUCAAAGUCAUAGAAACAGAGACCAUAAAAAUGAUCCCAGGGGGUUUGGGAGUGUGGGAAAUAGGGGAAGUGGGUGAAAGGGCCAAACUUUCAGCUAUAACAGGACCAAGGUCGGAGGAUCUAAUGUAAGAAGCAGUGAGUAUAGCUGAUAACACUGUAUUGUAAAAUGGAAAUUUGCUAAGGGAAUAGAACUUAAAUGUUCUCACACAAAAAAAAGAUAAAUAGGUGAUGGAUGUGUUAACUUGUUGUGGGAAUCCUUUUAUGAUGUACACAGGUAUCAAAUCACCAGCAUAUCAUGUGCACUCUAAUAUCAGAGAAUUUUAUGUCAAUUUUAACUCAAUGCUUAGAUUGAAAAAUAAAAUAAAAUAAAAAUUUUAAUGUAAAUACAAUAAAAACGUUAAAAAAGUCAAAUCCCCUGACAUGCCUUUCUUGAUCAAAUUAAAAAAUAUCAAAUCUAUUUCAUACUUCCUAUUUUUAAAUAAUCUCCAAGAGAAAAUCCCAAACCCUGACAGACUUACAGAAAGAGGGUUCCAUGAAUCAGUCAGUGAAGGGAUGUAUCCAAACUUAUUCGGAAUCUUUCAGAGAUUCCUGUUCCCCAGCUCAUUGUACGGUGCUAGAAGAGCGUUGUUGUAAAACUUGUUAAUUAUUUUCAACUAUGCUUACAGACUGUAAUACAAGUUGAAAGCAUCUCAGGAUUUCAAGAGUGGUUUAUUAUUGGAAAUACAUUAAUAGCACUCAACAUAUUAACUGUAAAAAAGUCACGUGACUAAAAAAAAAGAAAAAGUAAAAUACAAAGCCAUUCACAAUAGAAACACCAGACCAUGCAUAGGAAGAUACACCCUUAACUAGUUGAAGUUUAUCGAUGAAAACACUACAAUAAACCUGAAUUUUCAUAAGAAGAUAUCAGAAAUUUUGUGUUUUAGAUUAGCAACCAAACAAGGCUGUCAUUAUUAGUGCUUAAAUUAAAUAUCAUACCAGACAUUCUCGCUGGGGCUAUGACACAGACAAAAAAGAAUUACACUAAUUGGAAUACCAUUUAUAGACCUAUAAUUUCUCUCAAAUUGUAUGAUUAUCUACAUAGAAGAUUUUCAAAAACUAAUGUCAUGAAUAUCUGGUGUAGUUAUGCUGGUUCCUGAAGUUUGCCACAUAUAAAAUAAGUAUCCAAAAAUAAAUUACACUUCCACAAAUGAGAAUCAUAAGGCCAAAAAGGAAAUUAAAAAGAAAAUUAUUUGCCUUAUAACCAAAGAAAGAUUACUGAUACUCAGGAUAAAAUUAACAAAAUGUUUGUGUGGUGGAGACUGCAAAUUUUCUGCUAACGUUGCUUCUCCCCUUCCUGGGCCUGAGCCUGCCCACUCACAUUCCCGUCUUUCCUUCUGGCUGGGUUGUGAGAUUUCCACUGUGGGUGGAGUAGGAUCAAAGGGAACAUGCCUGUACCCAUCCCUGGAUCUCAGGGUGUUGGCCUGGCCUCCCCCACACUCUCAGCUGAAAGCCAUCUGACACGCUGCCCAGCACCCUGCCCCAGAGUCCAGCCGAGCAGCAGCACCAAAAUGCUUGUCAAGCGAGUGCCCUGUCUUGAAAGUGGAUUCUUUAUCAGCUAUCAGUCUUUCCCAGCUCAUGCCACUUGGACUGGCCAGAGUCAUCCCAAGGCAACAUCUGCAAAACACAGGAAAUCCUCAUUAUUGGUAAACACAGAGCCAGUGAAAAUUGUCACUGAACCAAGGGGUUGGGGACUCCUGUCCAGGAUUAGCAAUCACUAGUUCUGUGUCCUGAUGUGCACAGAUCACUGUUGUCGUCUAGUGUCUCCAUAUAUGUGACUAGGAACUGGCCAACGCAUAGUAUUUAACCAUUCAUUCAUCUCUUGAAUAAAUGUGAUCACUGCCUGGCAGCUUUAUUCUAUACUAGUCAAAUCUGGACACACACCAAAUCUCCUGAAAUAGGUAAAUGGAUAAACAAAAUGUGCUAUGUCCAUAGAACGAGAUACUACUCGGCAACAAUAAGCAGUUAACUAUUGCUAAAUGCCACAGAAUGGAGGAAUCUCAGGAACAUCAUGCUGAGUAAAAUAAGCCAAACACACGGUAUGUAUUCCAUGUAUAUAGCAUGUUUGAAAAGGUAACAGAAACCUAUUGACAGAAAUCAAAUCAGUGGUCAUCUGGGCUGGGGGAGACUGACAGCAGCGGGAUACGAGGAAUGUUGAGGGAGACGGGAAGGUUCUGUGUUUUGAUUAUGGUGGUGGCUGCGCAAGUGCAAACAUUUAUCGCAACUCAAUGAACUGUGUGCUUCAAAUGGGUGCACUUUAUUGUUUCUAAAUCUUGCUUCAAUGAAGUGGGAGAAAACUCUUAGUUUGUUUAAACGGUCACCAGAACUAACAGCCUAACCUUCUCAUUGUCCACAAUGGGACUCAGUCACAGAGAGGGCUACCUCUGUGUGGGAGAGAGGGGAAGGGACUUGCCCAAGGUCACACAAAGUGGAAGUGUCAGGCCUGAGACCAGAAUGCAGAUCUCCUGACACCCAAGCAGGGUUUCUCUCACACUCCUGCCUCCCAGGUGAAGCCUGUGUCUGCCUUCCCUGAGCAAACAUGGGCACAUCCUCCAAAGACAGGUCCUGGGUCAGGGGCCACAGGGCAUGGUUCACUCUCACCUCCAGGUGACCAUAAUACCUGAUCUGCUGGUUGACUUGUCCAGUAGUUUGCAUCGUGAGGAUAAGCUUGGCCUGCCAGGGUGGGGACGGAAGGAGAGUCGCCCCCCAAGGCUGGUCUCUGCAGGGGCUGAGAGACAGAGACCCUGAGUGUCUUCAAGGAAGCCUGAGGGGCACUGAAAAGAGUCAGGAGAGUUCAGAUAUCCUGAUUUCUCCAGGUUAGAAUUUUUCUUUUCUCUUGAAUUCUCAAGGAGAGAACCUCACCUGUCAGGUAAGUUCUUCAUUUUCUUCAGCUCAUUGGACCAUGACAGGUCCCCAGAGGGAAAAGUGAGUUGUGAAAGAAUUUACAAAGAGAGGGUGGGACGUCCACUUGUCCUUGGAGGAGGCUAGGAAUUAGGCGAGUGAAAGAAUUCAUUACUUUUGCUGUUGUCUAUUGUUGCAAAAAAACAUGACACCAAACAUUAGCGGUUUAAAAUAUCAAACAAUGCCUUAGCUCUCAUAAUUUUGGGGUCAGGAAAUUGAACAGGGCUCAGCUGGGUGAGCCUGCUCUUCCCCGUGGCAUCAAUGGCAAUCACUUGGCGAUACUCGGGUGCUGUGUGGGUUGGUUUAGAAUGUCUGGGAUGACUUCACUCACGUUGCUGUGCCUUCUCAUAGAUGGCUGGAAGGCUGGGCUCAGUGGGAACUUUCAACCAGGGCACUUACACAUGGGUAGACUUCUUACACGGCAGCCCAGGGUGUUUCAAGAGACCCACACAGAAACUGCAAACUCUCUGUCUUGUUCUCAGAAAUUAAGAAAAAAAAUCCAUCCACCAAUUCUUUUGGUCAAGCAAGUCAUCCACUUUCAGGCUGAGAUGAAAUAGACUCACUUUUCAGUGGGAGGAACAGCAAAGAAUUUGCUGUCUUCCUUCAUAUGCCACAAACACCUCCUGGGAGCUCUGUGGCCACGGGGACGCUGUGAUGCACGGCCCAGGGACCAGUUGGGUAGGAAGACAAACAAUCAUAACAUGGUGCCGCAAUAAGUGAGGGAGAUGUGAAUGUUAUGGGAACAACGAGGGCAGAGCAAGGGUUAGUGAAGCCGUGGGUGAUAGAGAAGGAUUCUCAGCAGUAACCUGGAGGAGAGGUGAGAGGUCCUCAGGGAAGAGUCUAGGGCAGGCCCUAUUUCAUCACACUUGCCUUUCUCCAGCAUGUGAGGUCCAUGGGAGCAGAGGCUCUGUGUCUCUUCUCUCCACAGCUGCAGCCACGGAACUUCACAAGGGUGUCAUUUGUUCACGAAGCGUUAGUGGGAGGAGAUGAGGGGAUAUGAAAAUGCACGCAAGUGCAGACACAGACUAUUCAGGGAAGGCGAGCAGAGACAGGAGGCUGAAGGUUUCUGUGCGUGGAGAGGGUGGUAAGAGGUGAGGCUGCAGACGGAAGCUUAACACCAUGUCUCACCAUUUAAAAAUGAAUAGAAUAACUCAUUCACGACACUUUCAAUUGAAGGUAAGAUGUUCAUAGUACGAUAUGACAGUUAAAUAGGACACUAUACAUCUACCUACUAUGGUUUAAUAAGGAGUAAAAUGUGCAUUCAACCUGAGGAGUAUUUUUCACUUGCUUGUGUGAUUUUCACAGGAAUGUGAGCUGCCCUGGCCACAGCCUUCCCACCCUCAGUUGAGGCCAACUUCACCCUUCCAGUUGCUGAGCCCACAAACCAGGGACCAUCCUUGAUUCAUUCUUGCUCUCACUCCCCACAUCCAGUCCUACACACGUCCUGCUGGCUCUGUCCGCACAAUGUAUCUGCAGUGGGACCACUUUGCACCACUGUCUCUGUGACCAGCCUGGACAGAGCCACCAUCUUGUCUUCUGUGGGUUUGCUCAUCGGUUGUCUGACGGUUAUCCCUCUUCCUCCCCUUCUUCUCGGCAGCAUAUUCUCCACUCACCAGUGGUGUCUGCAUUUUGGUCAAAUCCUGUGAUGGCUCCCAUUUUACUUAGAGUUAUUCAAAAUUCUCAUAGAAACCUGGACACCCUUACAGGUCUUUCUCCCGUGUUUUUCUCGACCUCCUCCUUACACUCUGUCUCACACCUGGUUCCAUGUGCACUGGCCCUUGGCUUUGCCUGGGACAUGACACUGCUGCUUCCUGGGUUGGGGUGAUAUACACAAGACAUCUGCCUGGCUUACUCCUCCAUCUUUUCUCAAGCACUGCCUGAAACAGUCACUUGUGCAUGAGGGCACCCAUUACUCCCAGGAGAUGGUGCAUCCUCCCCUGGGUCCUGCUCAUCCGCUAACCCAGCUCUUUUUUUUCUUUCAUGGCACUUACCAUCAUGUACCACAUCGAAGAUUUUAUUUAUUAUUUGUUAUUGUCCAUCUUUCUUGACUAUAAUAUUGGCUCAGCAGAGGCAGAUCUUUGCGAUUCAUUUUCCCUGGUCCCUUUCAGAUACCAAGAACAAUGUGUGGCAGACAGUGAUGCUUGACCGGUGCCUACUGAAGCUGUGAGGAAAGGUGUCUGCACUUUCUGCAAGGUCAUUUCUAACCCUCAGCCAUUUUGUCCUAACUGAUUCUUUCCUUCUCCCUUCCAGGCUGCCAUGGUACAAAGUUAUCAGAAUUGAAAAAUAAUCAUAUUUUGGAGGCAAAACCCUUCUGAUUGGCAAAAAAUGACGUGCAGCCUUCUUCUCAGCUUCCUUCUCUCCCUUCGCAGACCUCAGUGUCCCUGUCUCCCUGUCACUGUCACCUGGUCUUGUCCAGGCCCCUGAGAAGUGUUUUCUCUACCCGGUUCUCGGUCUGUCUCUCUAAUUGCUUAAUCAUGACAAAUGGUUCCUAAUAGCUUUUAGUAAUUUGCACAUGUCACAGUUGUUUUUCUGGGAAAAUUUCCACUCCCCAUGCAGACACUGUCCCUGCACUUCCAGGGGAAAGGAUAAUGAGUCCCCAGCAGGGAGGUGACCUCAUUGUUUCCCAGCCUCAUCUCGGGGAUAAGAUGCCCCCUUUGCACUUGUGCUCAUGGCGUGACCAUGGUGGCUACUGUCCCAGCAAGCAACGGCAUUUGAGAAGUCAUGGUGGUUUCUCUCAGCACCAGCUGCGUCCUCAGUAGAUCCCAGGCCUUUAAGCUCUGCCCCAGUUUCUCUAGUUGGAUGGAGCCCAGAAUGUGAGCCCCAAAGUGCUUUGGAGUCUGCUGUUUCAUCUGCUGGAUCCUACAUCUCUUGUGGCUCCAUGGUCCUUGUCCUGCACAAGCACAAGCAGCAAGUCCACCACGUUCACCGCAACAGACUUUGCCCCAGACCCUCCCACAAGGCCAGAGCCACAAGCGCCAUCCUGACCCUGGUGAACAUGUUUGUCUUCUUGCACUCUCUAGCAGGUAUUCUAUCAUUUUGGAUGACCCACCUUGUGAAUCCACCCUACUGGCUGAAGAAAACCUCUGUCCUGGAGUCUUAGGCUUUCCAACAUUCAGCUCCUUGGUGUUCAUUUUCACUGAAACCCGUAUCUCGGAGUUGUGUUUUGUCUGCUGGACGAAGAACACAAGUGCUCCAAGCAUGGUCUGUGGGCCAUAAAUUCCCUCCAGAACAUCCUACUGUUUAUUGGAGUGCUUUUCUCAACCUUUGUGGGCUUAUAUGCAAGGACUUUCAGAUUCAGUAUUGAAUAAAAAUCAUAAUAACUAUGA